rnacentral:rRNA from 1 species
GACGAACCGUGCGAACGUUAUUCGGAAUCACUGGGCUUAAAGCGCGCGCAGGCGGGGCGGCACGUCGGUCGCUGAAAUCCCCCGGCUCAACCGGGGAACGGGCGCCGAUACGACCGCCCUGGAGGGGCGUAGGGGGACCGGGAACUUCCGGUGGAGCGGUGAAAUGCGUUGAGAUCGGAAGGAACGCCCGUGGCGAAAGCGCGGUCCUGGACGCCUGCUGACGCUGAGGCGCGAAAGCCAGGGGAGCGAACGGG